UACGUAGGGGGCAAGCGUUGUCCGGAAUCAUUGGGCGUAAAGCGCGUGUAGGCGGUCCGGUAAGUCCGCUGUGAAAGUCGGGGGCUUAACCCUCGGAUGCCGGUGGAUACUGUCGGGCUUGAGUACGGAAGAGGCGAGUGGAAUUCCUGGUGUAGCGGUGAAAUGCGCAGAUAUCAGGAGGAACACCAAUUGCGAAGGCAGCUCGCUGGGACGUUACUGACGCUGAGACGCAAAAGCGUGGGGAGCAGACAGG
rnacentral:rRNA from 1 species